rnacentral:rRNA from 1 species
GAUGAACGCUGGCGGCGUGCCUAAUACAUGCAAGUCGAGCGAACAGACGAGGAGCUUGCUCCUCUGACGUUAGCGGCGGACGGGUGAGUAACACGUGGAUAACCUACCUAUAAGACUGGGAUAACUUCGGGAAACCGGAGCUAAUACCGGAUAAUAUAUUGAACCGCAUGGUUCAAUAGUGAAAGACGGUUUUGCUGUCACUUAUAGAUGGAUCCGCGCCGCAUUAGCUAGUUGGUAAGGUAACGGCUUACCAAGGCAACGAUGCGUAGCCGACCUGAGAGGGUGAGCGGCCACACUGGAACUGAGACACGGUCCAGACUCCUACGGGAGGCAGCAGCAGGGAAUCUUCCGCAAUGGGCGAAAGCCUGACGGAGCAACGCCCCGUGAGUGAUGAAGGUCUUCGGGUCGUAAAACUCUGUUAUGAGGGAAGAACAAAUGUGUAAGUAACUAUGCACGUAUUGACGGUACCUAAUCAGAAAGCCACGGCUAACUACGUG